rnacentral:rRNA from 1 species
AGUGAACGCUGGCGGUAGGCCUAACACAUGCAAGUCGAACGGCAGCACAGUAAGAGCUUGCUCUUACGGGUGGCGAGUGGCGGACGGGUGAGGAAUACAUCGGAAUCUACUUUUUCGUGGGGGAUAACGUAGGGAAACUUACGCUAAUACCGCAUACGACCUACGGGGGAAAGCAGGGGAUCUUCGGACCUUGCGCGAUUGAAUGCGCCGAUGUCGGUUUAGCUAGUUGGCGGGGUAAAGGCCCACCAAGGCGACGAUCCGUAGCUGGUCUGAGAGGAUGGUCAGCCACACUGGAGCUGGGACACGGUCCAGACUCCUACGGGAGGCAGCAGUGGGGAAUAGGGGACAGUGGGCGCAAGCCUGGCCCAGCCAGACCGAGUGGGUGAAGAAGGCCUUCGGGUUGUAAAGCCCUUUUGUUGGGAAAGAACAGCAGCCGGUUAAGACCACGCUGUUCUGACGGUACCCAAAGAAUAAGCACCGGCUAACUUCGUG